CUCGACAAUGCAUAUCUUGGCUCUCGCAUCGAUGAAGAACGUAGUGAAAUGCAAUACUUUGUGUGAAUUGCAGAAUCCCAUGAACAAUCGAGUAUUUGAAUUCAAGUUGCGCCCGAAGCCUUCUGGCCGAGGGCAUGUUAUCCUGGGCAUCACG
rnacentral:rRNA from 1 species